rnacentral:rRNA from 1 species
ACGUGUGGCCAUAUCACGCUGAAUGUCCCUGACUUCAUCUAGCCUUGGAAGCAAAGCAAGGUCUGGCUUGGUUAAUACGUUGAUGGAGACUCCUGGUUAUCAGGUGUU